rnacentral:rRNA from 1 species
UACGUAGGGGGCGAGCGUUAUCCGGAUUUAUUGGGCGUAAAGCGUUCGUAGGCGGUUUGUUAAGUCUGUGAUUUAAGACCGGAGCUCAACUCCGUGUUUGUUGCAGAAACUGGCAGGCUAGAGUGUGGUAGAGGCAGGUGGAAUUUCUAGUGUAGCGGUUAAAUGCGUAGAUAUUAGAAGGAACACCAGUGGCGAAGGCGGCUUGCUGGGCCAUUACUGACGCUGAGGAACGAAAGUGUGGGGAGCAAAU